UACGGAGGGUGCAAGCGCUAUCCGGAUUCACUGGGUUUAAAGGGUGCGUAGGCGGGCAGGUAAGUCCGUGGUGAAAUCUCUGAGCUUAACUCAGAAACUGCCAUGGAUACUAUCUGUCUUGAAUAUUGUGGAGGUAAGCGGAAUAUGUCAUGUAGCGGUGAAAUGCUUAGAUAUGACAUAGAACACCAAUUGCGAAGGCAGCUUACUACACAGUUAUUGACGCUGAGGCACGAAAGCGUGGGGAUCAAACAGG
rnacentral:rRNA from 1 species